AUGUGCAUUGCAAAGUCACAAGGAGGAAUGGGAUUUCGAGACCUGGAAACUUUCAACGAUGCAUUGUUAGCAAAGCAAGCAUGGAGGUUACUUGAGAAUCCAAAUAUCUUGUGUGCACGUGUGCUUAAAUCAUGGUAUUUUCCUAAUGAGGAUAUUCUCAUGGCGGGCUGUCCAGCUAGUGCCUCCAAGACAUGGAAAGCAAUUAUCAAAGGGAGAGAUAUGUUGAGGUGGGGACUCAUCCGGAGAAUUGGUAAUGGAGAGACCACCGACGUGUGGCAUGAUUAA
rnacentral:rRNA from 1 species